rnacentral:ncRNA from 1 species
CAAAAGCUUGGUCCUGACUUUACUAUCGGCUUCAGCUGAACUUACACAUGCAAGUAUCCGCACCCCUGUGAGAAUGCCCCACAGUUCCCCACCCGGGAACAAGGAGCCGGUAUCAGGCCCAGACUCAACUGGCCCACGACGCCUUGCUUAGCCACACCCCCAAGGGAACUCAGCAGUGAUAGACAUUAAACAUGAGUGAAAACUUGAUUUAGUUAAGGUUAAGAGGGUCGGUAAAUCUCGUGCCAGCCACCGCGGUUAUACGAGAGACCCAAGUUGAUAGCCCUCGGCGUAAAGCGUGGUUAGGGGCUUAAAAAACUAAAGCCGAAUGCUUCCUCCGCUGUUAUACGCCCCCGGAAGUAAGAAGCCCAAUUACGAAAGUAGCUUUACUAAACCUGAACCCACGAAAGCUAAGAAACAAACUGGGAUUAGAUACCCCACUAUGCUUAGUCCUAAACAUUGACAACAAACUACAUCCGUUGUCCGCCUGGAGAGUAUGAGCACUAGCUAGAAAUCCAAAGGACUUGGCGGUGCUUUAGAUCCACCUAGAGGAGCCUGUUCUAGAACUGAUAAUCCCCGUUAAACCUCACCCCUUCUUGCUCAGCCCGUCUAUAUACCGCCGUCGUAAGCUCACCCUGUGAAGGUCUAAUAGUAAGCAAAAUUGGCACUGCCCAGAACGUCAGGUCGAGGUGUAGCGAAUGAGGGGGGAAGAAAAUGGCCUACAUUCUCUAACUCAGAGUAUACGAAUAAUGUGUUGAAACACGCAUUUGAAGGAGGAUUUAGUAGUAAGCAUGAAAACAGAGUGUUCUGCUGAAACCGGCCCUGAAGCGCGCACACACCGCCCGUCGUUCU